rnacentral:rRNA from 1 species
AUUGAACGCUGGCGGUAGGCCUAACACAUGCAAGUCGAGCGCGAAAGUGCCUUCGGGUGCGAGUAGAGCGGCGGACGGGUGCGUAACGCGUAGGAAUCUGCCUGGUAGUGGGGGAUAACUCGGGGAAACUCGAGCUAAUACCGCAUACGCCCCAUGGGGGAAAGCGGGGGACCUUCGGGCCUCGCGCUAUCAGAUGAGCCUGCGUCGGAUUAGCUAGUUGGUAGGGUAAUGGCCUACCAAGGCGACGAUCCGUAGCUGGUCUGAGAGGAUGAUCAGCCACACUGGGACUGAGACACGGCCCAGACUCCUACGGGAGGCAGCAGUGGGGAAUAUUGGACAAUGGGGGGCAACCCUGAUCCAGCCAUACCGCGUGUGUGAAGAAGGCCUUAGGGUUGUAAAGCACUUUCAGUGGGGAGGGAAAAGUUAGCCGGCGAAUACCGGCGACCGUGACGCUACCUGCAGAAGAAGCACCGGCAAACUACCGUGCCAGCAGCCGCGG